AGUGAACGCUGGCGGUAGGCCUAACACAUGCAAGUCGAACGGCAGCACAGUAAGAGCUUGCUCUUACGGGUGGCGAGUGGCGGACGGGUGAGGAAUACAUCGGAAUCUACUUUUUCGUGGGGGAUAACGUAGGGAAACUUACGCUAAUACCGCAUACGACCUACGGGUGAAAGCAGGGGAUCUUCGGACCUUGCGCGAUUGAAUGAGCCGAUGUCGGAUUAGCUAGUUGGCGGGGUAAAGGCCCACCAAGGCGACGAUCCGUAGCUGGUCUGAGAGGAUGAUCAGCCACACUGGAACUGAGACACGGUCCAGACUCCUACGGGAGGCAGCAGUGGGGAAUAUUGGACAAAGGGCGCAAGCCUGAUCCAGCCAUACCGCGUGGGUGAAGAAGGCCUUCGGGUUGUAAAGCCCUUUUGUUGGGAAAGAAAAGCAGCAGGUUAAUACCCCGCUGUUCUGACGGUACCCAAAGAAUAAGCACCGGCUAACGUCGUG
rnacentral:rRNA from 1 species